rnacentral:rRNA from 1 species
AGACAGAGGUGGCAAGCGUUGUUCGGAUUUACUGGGCGUAAAGCGCUCGUAGGCGGUCGUGUAAGUCAGAUGUGAAAUCCCAGGGCUCAACCCUGGAACUGCAUUUGAAACUGCGUGACUUGAGGACAGGAGGGGGAAGUGGAAUUCCCGGUGUAGCGGUGAAAUGCGUAGAUAUCGGGAAGAACACCUGUGGCGAAGGCGGCUUCCUGGACUGUCCCUGACGCUGAGGAGCGAAAGCGUGGGUAGCAAACAGGAUUAGAAACCCCAGUAGUCC